GGAUGUGAGGGUGAUCUGGCUGCAACAUCUGCUACCCCAUUGAUCACCAGGGUUGAUUUGGCUGAUAGGGCUUGCUAGGUGGUUGUCCCUUUCCCCCUUCACCACUCCAUGUGCAUCCCUCCUGAAGCUGCAUGCUGUAUGGAAGAGGGUAAUCACCCCCAAUAGAGGAGGACCAUUUCCUCAGUCAAGGGUACACAAGCAGCUGCAUUCCCCUGCUAGAACCUCCAAACAAGCUCUCAAGAUAAUAGGAAGUAGGGAGAUCUUUUUCAAACAAGAAAGC
rnacentral:snRNA from 1 species